ensembl:lncRNA
GUGUCUUUAUUUAGAGACAGGGAGUCAAUGCUGAGACCAAGGUGUCUUUAUUUAGAGACAGGGAGUCAAUGCUGAGACCAAGGUGUCUUUAUUUAGAGACAGGGAGUCAAUGCUGAGACCAAGGUGUCUUUAUUUAGAGACAGGGAGUCAAUGUUGAGACCAAGGUGUCUUUAUUUAGAGACAGGGAGUCAAUGCUGAGACCAAGGUGUCUUUAUUUAGAGACAGGGAGUCAAUGCUGAGACCAAGGUGUCUUUAUUGAGACAGGGAGAGGUAGAGGUCAUGUGAUGUAAUUACACAGGCCGAUGCUGCAGGGAUGUAGAGGUCAUGUGAUGUAAUUACACAGGCCGAUGCUGCAGGGAUGUAAUGAGGUGAUGUAAUUACACAGGCCGAUGCUGCAGGGAUGUAGAGGUCAUGUGGUGUAAUUACACAGGCCGAUGCUGCAGGGAUGUAGAGGUCAUUUGAAGCAGCCUUUCUUCCAUCGCGUGUUUGGAACAAUGACAAAGACAUCGGCAACUUUGUAUUCUGUCGUCAACUCCGCUCUGAAGUGACCUGGCGGGCACCGUCAGGCAGAGAUCAACAUCUUGAUGUAUGUUCAGUGAGAUCUGAGUUUACAGUGUAC